CGUGUGAGAACAGUCUGGCUUGUAAGAUUACAGGUUCAAGGACCGUGGGGUAGGGGAACGGUUGUGUUCCCGGGGCACCUGCGGAUUCCACGGACGCCAGCCAUUCAGUCUUGGUGGAGGGAACUCUCGGAAGGAUGAGCGGCACCUAGCCGGUUGGGUGAGUCGUUACUCCGUUAACUGUCAGGUCUGGGCAGGGGCUGAGCCAAGAAUGGGUGUUUGUUCAGCACGUCUAGGGUGUCCCACCCCAGCAGACAUCCCCAGGGAUUCUCCAUUGGGCAAGAUCCUGGCCAAUUGGGGUGGGCUUUGCAUCGAAAAACAUGGUGCAGGCCAGGUUGGGCUAACUCAGAGCACAUAAGUGGCCCCUUGUGGCCCUUGAAGGGGGAACAGCUUGCCCCCCCUUGCUCGAGUCGCCGAAUUCAGAGUGUUGACCUAAGGUGACUCGCCAGGGGGAGGGCAAGUGGUCCCAACUUGCUUAUGCUGCGAUGUUCAUGGCCUUAAGCCAGAGGGAGAGUGGAAGGGGAGAGGGGGUCCAAGUCUUCCCAUGCAGGGACGUGGGCUCCAAACCUACCCUCCUCAGAAGCUCCUCUCUAGACCUACUUCCCCUUACCCCCUCCUCCAGAGGAUUUUCUGGACACAUUUGCUUGCCCUCUCCCCCAAUCCCUAUCCCUACUUUUUCUCCUCACCCUGAGUCCUACACUGAUCCAGGACUCCCAAAUUGGCCUUCCAAGGGAACCCUUACUUCAGGGAUCCCCCCCCCAAGAAAUUCCCCUCCAGAGAGUUCAGCCCAGUCUAUCGUGAAGGAGGGCUCCCAGCCCCCUCCCCUCUCACCCCGAAACACACCUGAUCCAAAACACUGUUCCUCUUCUCAAGUCACACUCUCUCAGCCCCCAUCCCAGCCGUUCCUUUGAAGCCUGAUGCCCCCCCCCCAAAUUGUAUCUGCCCCUGCCACUCAACUCCUGCCACAUUCUGAGUUUUCCUCAGAUGGGAAGAAUCGCCCCACCAUCCCCCUCCUUCUCUUGCCCCCACCAGGCUCUCUCUCUCUCUCUCUCUCUCUCUCUCUGCGCUCAUUCCUCUCUUGGAGAGAGAGGAGAAGGAGGGGCCGCGGGGAGAUUGUGCAAAGAGGACACUUUUUUCCUCUUCCUGUUUUUGGAGGGGCAAAGGGGGGAGAAGAUUCAGUCCUGAAGCCUGCCACCAAGAUCUAUAGUUCUCCAAGGAUUGCUUCCUUCUUUCAAAUCAAAUCUUCUCCAACUUGAUAUUCUGCCUUGCCUACCCUCAAAUUGUACCCUUUUUUUCUUUUCUCUCUCUCUCUCUUCCCCGGCCUGAGUGAAAAUCUCUCUCUCUCCCUCAAAUCUCAAAUCCAUUUCUCCUCUCCUUCCUCUCUUCUCACCUUUUAAAAUCCCUUAUUUCCCUUUGUUCCCAUUUUCUAGACACUAUCCCUAAGAUUUUACCUCAGUGUUGUCUUAUAUUUCCUUUGGUCCUUACAAAAGGGGGGAGGGGGGCCAUUCCUUUAGCCGCUUCUGUUUCUUAAUUUCCCCUUUUUCUUUCUUUCCCAUCUGGGAAGCAUGGCAAAGGAUUUGGGUGGGGGAAGGGGACUCCCAGAAAAGUGUUGAUUAAAUUUUGUGUGUUUAUGUAAUGUGUGGGCUGUAAACUCUUCUCUACUCAUCCCGUUGCCUUAAAAGCCACCAGUGAUAUAUAGUUUUCUGGGAAGGAGGGCUGGAAUGGACUAGCUUAGUGCUAUGCUCUCUCUCCCUCCCUUUUCUUCUGUGCCAUCUCACCUCCCUAUUUUCAAAGGUUCAAGCCCUAAUAUUUUGUGAGACCCCCCCCCCCCAGAGAAAACCUGCUGCUUCUGUGGUUUUAACUUUUUCUUGUCUCUCUCUCCUCAAGCCUCCCUUAUCUUAGAGAGAAAAGGGGGGGGGAUGGAAGAAUUGAUGUAUUUUUCUAUAUGUGAGUUUUUUCUCUCUCUCUCUCUCUCUUCCACUUCAUGUUUUCCUAGGCCAAAAUGCACUUCAACAUUCUCCUUUUUCAAAGCUCCCCCCCCCUUCCUUCCCAGCAUCCCCGUUUCUCCUUAUAAACAUUCAGUCAAAAUCCUGGUUUACUUUUAUAGUAAAGGCACUCUUUCACUCUCCACAGUUCCCCAACAAUCUCCUUUCUUCCUUUCGGGUCCUUCUCCCUCCCUUUCCCUGAGUGCAUGCGUGUGAAUGUUUUAAAAAUCCCUCUAACUGCCUUUAAUUAUGAGGGGGGGCAGUACAGAGUCCAGGGGACCUUCCAGGCACAGCUGAAGAGAUCCAGAGGACCGGACCCAACCACCUGACUGAGGACAUCAGACCAGACUGCAAGACCCAUAAUCCAUACCUGCCACCAUGAACAGUUCUAAGACCUGGGUAGGGGCUCUCGGAGUGCGCUGUGGAUUUCAUGCAGCAGCUAGAACCCAGAGGCCAUUGGAGAUGGUCCUGUGAGGGCUUUUAUGGCCAGACCACCGUAUGGUGCCCUCCAGCUGGCCUGGUUCUGCCCUGGCAAAGGGCUACUGAGUGCAGGUCUGCCUUUGACGCUGCCAAGGAGGCCCUCAUGACAUCACCAGGGGACAGAAUUGGCCGCCAUGGCAGAAGAUGUCCCAGAAGAAAUGAACAGGAUUCUACCAGUGACCACCAUGAGGGAAGGAUGUUCCACUUUCACCAGAGCUGUGCCAAAGAAGGACCCCAGGACUGCUGGAGCCCUCACAAGGUAUGAGUGACUUCCCUGACUAACCCCACCACGGGAGGGAGGGGGGCUUAUAAUCUGUCCUUAGUUUCCCUAGGCACUCUCUCCUUUCCGUCUCCUCUGUUGGAGUGCUGGACCUGCCUGCAGUCACCAGGAGGCGCCGUGCUGUGAGGCGCAGAAGCUGUGCCCAGUUGCCCCCAGCUGCCAACUACAAAGGGGGGCCCAAGCUGCAGCCAAGAAAAGGCAGCCAAAUGGGAGUACUGCAUCACAGCCUCCAUCAUCCCCAGCCCUCACCACCUCCACCUUCAUGCUCCAUUUCCCAUGACUCCAGACCAAGGGACAUCUGUUUCAACACCAUGGGAUCACCCACCACUGACUGAACCUCAGCUUUCACCUCUUCAAGCUCCUGCCCUCCAACAAAAAGGCACAAUCUGAUCUACCAAGGCAGAGGCCCUGCAUGCAGUGAAAUGUCGGGGCUUUGGGAAAUGUUCAUAGCCAUUUCCAAGCCCCGAAGGGGGGAAAAUGUGAUCGAGGUGACCUCCCCUCCAGGACUUUGUAAAAGAUAGUUCAAAAAUCAAGACUUUAUGUUCUAUAUUCCAUAUAUUUAUAGUAGAAGGUGAUUGAGACUUUUUACUGGAGUUUACUGUGGAUUAUCCCUGCAUUCUGAGGCAAGAGAUAACAACUUCAUGAAUUGUAAAAUCAUGCUGCUAAAACUCCACUUCUAUGACUUUCCAUAUUGGGUUCCCCAGAUGUUGUAAACCUCGUUCUUAUCAAAUGUUUUCAAUUGUUUAUAUCAUCCAUGAUUCCCCUUUAUGCAAUGUCACCCACCUUUAUGGAUUCUCCUUUAUUUCCUUGAAAUCUAUCUAUCUGCCUAUAUGUAUUUGUACUCUUUGGGAUCCCCGGAAAAUAUGUAUUCUUCCCAGCAGGGUUUAUGUUCCAACUUUAUUUUAAUUUUCAUUCUAUCCCAUAUAAUUGUCAAAUCAUGAAAUCAAAUGGGAAAUAUUAUGACCCCAACGUGAACUCUAGCCCUAUGACCCAGACCUCCCUUCCCAAAAACAAAAGGAUAAUCUGCCACCGUUUAAUCCAAUCUCAUUCCGAUCGCAUGGACAAUAUAGGGUUUGAGUCACCAAAAUUCCUAAAGGUGACUCGCCCCCAAGGCAAACAUUGUCAUAUCCCAGGCCAGGACGCCUCAGGAAGGCACCCCUGUGGAGCCCGUCAAUGACGGCUCAUCACCACCCUUCUUUACUUCCCGUCUGACACCCCAAAGGCAUAUCUAAGAUCUGUGAACGUGACAGGACCCCGGACAUCCCUGAUGGGUGCCAUUAAUUCCUUUAGAAAUCGGCUGGGCCAGAAUUAAUCUGAUAUUUCCUGUCCUGUCACCUCAUUGUUUCAAUAGCUCCCGCCUCCUCCUCUCUGAUUGGCCCGGGUGGGGACAAAAAGUGGCUCCCCAUUGGGCCAGCAGAGCAAGGCGGGAAACGAAAGCCCACCUCGUUCAACCUCCCAGCCUAUCCGCGAUCAGAUGGGCGGGGAAGCGGGGCGGGAAAUUCAAAGGGCUGUCAGACCGAAACAUUGUAUAAAUAUGGCUUUAUUUGAAACAUAUGUUACGCUAGUAGACUGAAUGAUCGGUACUAGUGUCCUUUUCAGCUGAAUCGCUAAAUAAAGACUCCUUGGCGGAUUUUCCUUCA